AGGGGAGACUGGGUACACUUGAUCCCUAGGGGACACUUGGUAAUCUUUAUUAAAAAAUCUACUAAAUGCGCAAUCUUUUUUUAAACUAGCAACACUUGUUUGUUUAUGGCAAGGUUAACUUUCUGUCAUAGUUUCGUUGGACAAAUAUCAGUAGUUUGCAAAUGGCCGGCAAUCGAAAUUUUCUGUGGUGAUUUAUAUAAAAUUUGAAUACGAUGCCGCGAAAGUAUAAAACUAAAGAAGGUUCAAGAAAAAGAAAGCCAAUCGAUAAAGAAAAACUAAAACUUGCGGUAGCUGCAGUUCUGGCCGGAAAUACACUAAAAGGCACUGCAAAACAAUAUUCGGUACCUCUCAUGACUUUGAAAAGAUAUGCUAGAAAGCAAAAAGAAAAUGACGAGGAAAUAUCAUACGAACCCAACUACAAAAAAUCGCAGAUAUUUUCAGACCAAGAAGAAAAUGAUUUGGAAGAAUAUUUGGAAACCGCUAGUAAGUUGUAUCAUGGCCUCUACCCUAAGAAAGUACGUACGCUAGC